rnacentral:rRNA from 1 species
CACUGACGCUGAGGUGCGAAAGCAUGGGGAGCAAAUUGGAUUAAAUACCCUGGUAGUCCAUGCCGUAAACGAUGUCUACUAGCCGUUGGGGGACUUGAUCCUUUAGUGGCGCAGCCAACGCAUUAAGUAGACCGCCUGGGGAGUACGGUCGCAAGACUAAAACUCAAAUGAAUUGACGGGGGCCCGCACAAGCGGUGGAGCAUGUGGUUUAAUUCGAUGCAACGCGAAGAACCUUACCUGGCCUUGACAUGUCUGGAAUCCUGUAGAGAUACGGGAGUGCCUUCGGGAAUCAGAACACAGGUGCUGCAUGGCUGUCGUCAGCUCGUGUCGUGAGAUGUUGGGUUAAGUCCCGCAACGAGCGCAACCCUUGUCCUUAGUUGCCAGCACGUAAUGGUGGGAACUCUAGGGAGACUGCC